rnacentral:sRNA from 1 species
UGGAAAGAUAUCCACACUCUUUGUUGAAGUUGGAAUGCAUCUCUUUAAUUGUUGAUAGUGUUUAUUUGAGCAGCCAACAGAUACUACAUGCUGGUGCAUAAGACUCAGUUAAGUUUAGUCUUAUUUCUUAUGUUGCAGUAAGUUAUUGUUAGUUAUCCUACUUGGCACAUGUUAGUCUACCACUUAGAAUUAUGGAUCAGUUAUCUAUUGAGUUCACUUAGUGGGUAGUUGUCAGUUUCUAAUUUCAUGUCUUAUGGUCUUUUUUCUAUUUCCUGUACUUAAGCUUUAAGUAGCAACCGAUAGGAAUGAAGAUGUUGUUCUGUUUUUUCAUCACUUGGCUGCUCUUAAGCAUUCUCUUCACUCUCCUUCAUUUUCCCUCACUUUAUUUUUUGAAAGUUCAACACUAAAAAUUUUGAAGAGAGCUAAAACGAGGUCAGAAACAGAGAGAGGGAGGAGCUACAACAUAAAAGAAGGUACCAAGAAAGUUACUCAGUCUUUUCAUCUAAUUUAGCCUCUAUUUGCAGACAAUUUGUAUGGAAAUCUACUGUUUCUUCUGGGACGUGUGAGGAUAGAGCAACACUGUGACUUACUUAGAACAAGGUUCCCAAAAAUUACUACUAAUUAACUUCUUCUCUAUUGGAAUUUGUUAAUUAGCCACUAAGGAAGUUGAUUUGCGUGCAAGAUGCAACUUUGAUCCGGAGGGCAAAUUCUACAGUAAGGUCAUGAGUUUUGUCUGAAAGAUUGCAUUGGGUGAUCUCAACUUUCAUUCAAAAGUGAAAAUUCGCAGAAGUAACACUUUUGCUUGCAUUUACCAUUGACUAUCAAACAGUUGAAACUUCUGAGUGCAGGAAGGGGUGGAAACAACCAUUACUGGAAGAAAACUAAUUUCUCCGCAGAUAUUCAGAGGAUGUGCAUAAGACUACGGAAAGACACACGAAGGGUGAAACAUUUCUGGAAGCCAUCGUUAUCAUCAACUUGUUUGAUCCUGGGAACCCAUUGCAAGACUUUGAAAUUAUAUUCUUUUCCCAGGACUUUCUCCAGAUAUUUUCUGGGAAAUCCACUGAAGCAUUCAACUCAUCUAGAAUGGUGGAACGUGGUCCAUCUUGUAAAGCAGAAUUAAGUGCUAGAUUAUUGAAAGAUGUAAAAUGACCCAUAGUUCCAACAAUCAUAGAGUGUUGGAGUCUAUUGGUUGCAGAACAACAUGUGGUCGUGUAUACAAGGGAAAGAAAAUGCCUGGCAGGAUGGGAGGAAGCAAAAGAAAGAUCUGAAAGCUCAAGAUUGUGAACACUGACAAUUCAAGUUGUGAUGAUCAAAGGCGCUGUCCUUGGUAAGCCAGGAAAUCUGCUAUGUAUAACUCCACGUAAGAUUGUUGGAAGAACAUAACAACGAACUAGCUUCAUGUAUUGUGAUUUGUUUGAUUUUGGUUCUGCAUCAUUGCAACUAUGUUGUAUGGAGCUUCAUGUAGUAUGGAGUUUGCAUAAUUCAAUGGCGCUCCUGGCUUUGAAAGGAUGAACAGGGCUGCUGAUAUUGUGUUUAAUGCAAUGUGCACAGGUAGGCAUGUGGUGUGCAACUAUGUUGGAAGUGUUGUUAGAUACACUUGAUUGAUUGAUUGAUUGUUGUUUUGAUACUCAGGUGGAUUGUUGAACUAGGGUUAUUUGUUGUCGAGAACAUUUUAUAUCCUCCCACUCGAUAGUUUGCAGCAAGGCAUUGUAACUUGAAUUGAAACAAUUUGAUUUUGUUAUAUGAAAUUUAUAAAUGAAAGGCACCUCAGGUCUUUAAACA